rnacentral:rRNA from 1 species
AUUGAACGCUGGCGGCAGGCCUAACACAUGCAAGUCGAACGAGUGGCGGACGGGUGAGUAAUGUCUGGGAAACUGCCUGAUGGAGGGGGAUAACUACUGGAAACGGUAGCUAAUACCGCAUACCAUCGGAUGUGCCCAGAUGGGAUUAGCGAGUAGGUGGGGUAAAGGCUCACCUAGGCGACGAUCCCUAGCUGGUCUGAGAGGAUGGCCAACCACCAUGGAACUGAGACCCGGUCCAGAUUCCUCCGGGAGGCAGCAGUGGGGAAUAUUGCACAAUGGGCGCAAGCCGGACGCAGCCAUGCCGCGUGUAGGAAGAAGGCCUUCGGGUUGUAAAGUACUUUCAGCGGGGAGGCGUUACCCGCAGAAGAAGCACCGGCUAACUCCGUGCCAGCCGCCGCGGUAAUUC